ensembl:sense_intronic
GACACCUCCUUGUAAUCCCAGAGCUGGGGAAGUGGAAAUGGGCAGGUGAUAGGGCUAGCAAACCAUCGAGGCUAGCCCAUUUGGUAACUUCUAGGCCAGUAAAAUGUCCCAUUUGAAAAGACGGUGACCGCAGAACAUGUGUGGUUGAUCUCUAUGCCUCUAAAUGCACACAUGAACACACACGCACACAAGCAUGUACACACAUGCACAUAAACAAACAAGAGAGACUGCAGGUACUAGAACAAAGGUGGGGGUGGGGUUUCUAUCCAGUACUUUCUCUCAUACUGUCAUCCAUUGCUUUAUUUGAUGACUAAUCUAUCUGCAAGCCCACUUACUGACACCUUACCAUGGUGAUGAAGAUGUUUGGAGAAUUAACAUGUGACACAGCUCAUCCUAAUUUUUAAGUGUAAAUAAUUAUGGGAUGUGUAAACAGAUACUGAAUAGAUUGGGGCAGCGGGUGGAUGGGUGGACUCACUGCUGGAAGGAAGAAUGGAUGGAUGUUACAAAACUGAGUAAACCUGAAGGAGCUCAGCAGGAGGGCACUGAGAUAGCUGAGUGGGUUAAGGUGUUUGCUGCCAAGACUGAACCCAAGUUCAAUUCCCGCAACCCACAGGGUGGAAGAGGGCACUCGAUGCCUGGGAGUUGUUCUCUGACCUCCACAAGCAAGCUGUGGCACACACUCUUGAAUAAUUCAUAAAUUAAUUGUAACAAAAGAACUGAGCCCAUCCUCUACCAUGCCAAGAGAAUGGUACCAUGGUAUAUGUGUUGAGGGGCAGAAUCACGAAACAGGCACUGCCUUUUACACAGUUUGACACGUCUGAAGCCUUCUUCUAAGCAGUGAACACAAGAACAUCCCAGGAGCUAAAUGAGCCAAACAAAGGAGUCAGCCUGCCUCAGGAGAUGGAGAGUAAGUAGGGGGUUUAGCUUUGAACAAACCUAAUGGAAUCCUGCUGCCUGCCAGAGCUAGAGAAUUAGACAUUAGGAGAAAGGGAAUGCAAGCUCAUUGCAGUUCUCAGGAUGCUCACUAGAGGGCGGGAGAGAGACAUUGGGCGGGCUGGCUAGAAAAGAGCUUCAGAGGGAACUUUAUGUAACAGACCAGACAGGACAGCAGUCCAAAUGGGGGUUAGUGUGCAGAACCAGAGGAGGGAUGUGGCAAGAGGAAUGGGAUCUGAUUGCUAGGGAUGCUGAGCAAUGAUCCUCAACAACAGGGGUCCAUCCAUCCCACACAAGGGAUAGAUGAUGUCUUGGCUCCAGGGAGGACCGUGAAGAAUGAAGCUACCUGGUGUAGUUUGUACAAAUAUACACCUGCUUGUGGCAUCGCUCAGGUGCUUGUUUGCCCUUCCCAGUUGAAGGACAACUGAGAUCCGAUUCCAUCGAGAGAUGACAAGAUGAUUGUGGUGUCGCUUCUACACUCCACGUGAGGUUGGUGAAGAAGAUACUCAAGGACUCCUGUGUCUGGGAGGUGACAAUGAGUUGUGAGACUGCCUCUGCCAUGCAGGAGGUUUCCGUCUCCUUUUCCAGGAAGUCUGCCCUGACUGCUUAGGGCGUGUAGCCUGCUCCUCAGCUGUGUUCCCACGAUAUCUGUGCAUUCUGAUCAAGAAGUUGCCUCACUAUCGCACUAUCUGCUUUGAAGAGCAUCACCAAGACAAGGGGUUCCAGCAUCUGCAACCAAGUCCACGCCUAUUGCCUCGGGAGCAGCCAAUCCCUCUCGUCCAGCCUCAGUUUCCUGAUCUUAAAAUGGGGCAAUGAAAUCUCUCCCACCCCAGGCUGCUGGGAAGACGGAGCAAUGUUUGCAGAGCACAAGGUCUGGCAGAUCUCUGCAGCCAGCGCUGCCUUCCAGAGGCCUUUUAUGCUUCUCAACAGCCCAGUCUGGCAAUGAGUUUUACUGCUGGUGCCCAGCAAAGUGGGCUGGCAAGAUGGCUCAGCAGGUAAAGGUGCUUGUUGGCAAGCCUGGCAACAUGAGUUUGAUCCCUGAAACCCUCAUGUUGGACUCCAACAAGCUAUCCUCUGACCUUCACACAAGCUCUGUGGUACCUGCACACUGACACACAUAAAUAAAUACAUUGAAAUAUUGAUUUUUUUUUUUUUACAAAGAGAAUACUCAGGUUAGUAAGCAGUAAAGUCAGGAAAGAUUUUUCUGGAAAGGGAUAUGUAGUAGGUAUUCUAGCCUUAUGAGGCAGAAAACCUGCCACAGCUACCCACUCUGCUAUGAACAGGAAUGGCUGUAUUCCAAUAAAGUUUUAUUUAUAAAAUCAAA